AGAUUGAACGCUGGCGGCAGGCCUAACACAUGCAAGUCGAGCGGUAGAGAGGUGCUUGCACCUCUUGAGAGCGGCGGACGGGUGAGUAAUGCCUAGGAAUCUGCCUAGUGGUGGGGGAUAACGUUCGGAAACGGACGCUAAUACCGCAUACGUCCUACGGGAGAAAGCGGGGGACCUUCGGGCCUCGCGCCAUUAGAUGAGCCUAGGUCGGAUUAGCUAGUUGGUGAGGUAAUGGCUCACCAAGGCGACGAUCCGUAACUGGUCUGAGAGGAUGAUCAGUCACACUGGAACUGAGACACGGUCCAGACUCCUACGGGAGCAGCAGUGGGAAUAUUGGACAAUGGGCGAAAGCCUGAUCCAGCCAAUGCCGCGUGUGUGAAGAAGGUCUUCGGAUUGUAAAGCAACUUUAAGUUGGAGGAAGGUUAGUAACUUAAGUACGUUGCAACGUUUGAACGUUACGACAGAAUAAGCAACCGGACUAACGUCGUGCAGCAGCCGAGUAAC
rnacentral:rRNA from 1 species